CACAGCAAGGCAUAGAUUCCCUCGGUUGCAUAGCGACCGCCCACCAUGUCAUUGUGAUGCUUCUGUAAACUACCGCUCGAGUGUUUGGAUGCCUGUAAACAAGACUCUCCAGUGAUGACCUGGGGGAUGCAAAAGUUUUGAGGAGGAUGCUCUUCCACCAAGACAUCUUCAUUAAAUGAUUGUUCUCUUGAUAUAACGGGUACAUUUAAUCACCAGAAACGAAGCCAACACUUUCAUCACUCAGCUGUCGUCGUGCACCAUAAAUUCUUGAGCUUAUCACCUUUGCUUUGUGGCACGUUUAAGAUUCAUCUUCACAGCCUGCUCGGACUGAAUAACAGCAUUCAUGGCUGACGUUAAGAUGGACAAUCGGUUAGAGUGUUUUUUGCCCCUGAGUUUUAACCUGCCAGACUGAAUACAUCGAGACACUGUUUUGAUUUCAACUUGA